rnacentral:rRNA from 1 species
AUUGAACGCUGGCGGCAGGCCUAACACAUGCCAGUCGAGCGGAUGAAGGGAGCUUGCUCCUGGAUUCAGCGGCGGACGGGUGAGUAAUGCCUAGGAAUCUGCCUGGUAGUGGGGGAUAACGUCCGGAAACGGGCGCUAAUACCGCAUACGUCCUGAGGGAGAAAGUGGGGGAUCUUCGGACCUCACGCUAUCAGAUGAGCCUAGGUCGGAUUAGCUAGUUGGUGGGGUAAAGGCCUACCAAGGCGACGAUCCGUAACUGGUCUGAGAGGAUGAUCAGUCACACUGGAACUGAGACACGGUCCAGACUCCUACGGGAGGCGGCAGUGGGGAAUAUUGGACAAUGGGCGAAAGCCUGAUCCAGCCAUGCCGCGUGUGUGAAGAAGGUCUUCGGAUUGUAAAGCACUUUAAGUUGGGAGGAAGGGCAGUAAGUUAAUACCUUGCUGUUUUGACGUUACCAACAGAAUAAGCACCGGCUAACUUCAUG